rnacentral:rRNA from 1 species
CGGACGGGUGAGUAACACGUGGAUAACCUACCUAUAAGACUGGGAUAACUUCGGGAAACCGGAGCUAAUACCGGAUAAUAUAUUGAACCGCAUGGUUCAAUGGUGAAAGACGGUUUUGCUGUCACUUAUAGAUGGAUCCGCGCUGCAUUAGCUAGUUGGUAAGGUAACGGCUUACCAAGGCAACGAUGCGUAGCCGACCUGAGAGGGUGAUCGGCCACACUGGAACUGAGACACGGUCCAGACUCCUACGGGAGGCAGCAGAA